CACAACCUUCCUUUAAGUGGGGGAUAGCCCAGAGAAAUUUGGAUUAAUACCCUUAACAUUAUGAGAUGGCAUCAUUUUAUAAUUAAAGCUUCGGCGCUUAAUGAUGGGUGUGCGGCUGAUUAGGUAGUUGGAGAGGUAACGGCUCACCAAGCCUACGAUCAGUAGCUGAUGUGAGAGCAUGAUCAGCCACACGGGCACUGAGACACGGGCCCG
rnacentral:rRNA from 1 species